GGCUGGAUAGCUCAGUUGGUAGAGCACUGGAACGACAAUCUGGAGGUCGCAGGUUCGAAACCCCGCUCCAGUCA
rnacentral:tRNA from 1 species